rnacentral:rRNA from 1 species
AUACGGAGGGGGCUAGCGUUGUUCGGAAUUACUGGGCGUAAAGCGCGCGUAGGCGGACUGAUCAGUUGGGGGUGAAAUCCCAGGGCUUAACCCUGGAACUGCCUCCAAUACUGUCAGUCUUGAGUUCGGGAGAGGUGAGUGGAAUUCCUAGUGUAGAGGUGAAAUUCGUAGAUAUUAGGAAGAACACCAGUGGCGAAGGCGGCUCACUGGCCCGAUACUGACGCUGAGGCGCGAAAGCGUGGGGAGCAAACAGGAUUAGAAACCCGGGUAGUCC